GAUGAACGCUAGCUACAGGCUUAACACAUGCAAGUCGAGGGGCAGCGAGGGUAAUAGCAAUAUUACUUGUCGGCGACCGGCGCACGGGUGCGUAACGCGUAUGCAACCUACCAUCAACAGGGGGAUAACACUGAGAAAUUGGUACUAAUACCCCAUAAUAUCUCAUGCGGCAUCGCAUGGGGUUGAAAACUCCGGUGGUUGAUGAUGGGCAUGCGUUGUAUUAGCUGGUUGGUGAGGUAACGGCUCACCAAGGCGACGAUACAUAGGGGGACUGAGAGGUUAACCCCCCACAUUGGUACUGAGACACGGACCAA
rnacentral:rRNA from 1 species